rnacentral:rRNA from 1 species
CCCUUCGAUGUUCUGGGCUGCACGUGCGCUACAAUGGCAGUGACAACAAGUGCCUGUUCUGAGAGGAAUGGGGAAUCUUGAAAAUCACUGUCUUGCUUUGGAUUGAGCCUUGUAAUAAUUGCUCAUGAAAGAGGAAUUCCUCGUAAGCGCGAGUCAUCAGCUCGUGUUGAAUACGUCUCUGCCCUUUGUACACACCGCCCGUCGCUACUACCGACUGGAUCAUGCUUCGAAAUGGUAGGACCGAUGACCUCGCUAGGGGACGUUGGAAUAACCCUUAAGAUGUGUGAUCUGAAGGAAGUAAAANUCGUAACA